rnacentral:rRNA from 1 species
AACUGCGAGUGAAGCGGGAAAAGCUCAAAUUUAAAAUCUGGCGGUCCUUGGCCGUCCGAGUUGUAAUUUAGAGAAGCGUCUUCCGCGUCGGACCGUGCACAAGUCUCCUGGAAUGGAGCGUCGUAGAGGGUGAGAAUCCCGUCUUUGGCACGGACUCCCGGUGCUUCUGUGAUGCGCUCUCAAAGAGUCGAGUUGUUUGGGAAUGCAGCUCAAAAUGGGUGGUGAACUCCAUCUAAAGCUAAAUAUUGGCGAGAGACCGAUAGCGAACAAGUACCGUGAGGGAAAGAUGAAAAGCACUUUGGAAAGAGAGUGAAACAGUACGUGAAAUUGUUGAAAGGGAAACGCUUGAAGUCAGUCGCGUCGGACGAGACUCAGCCUUGCCUCGGCUUGGUGUACUUCUCGGCUCGACGGGUCAGCGUCAAUUUUGCUCCUCGGAUAAUGGCAAGGGAAAGGUGGCACCUUUGCGGGUGUGUUAUAGUCUCGUGUCGCAUGCGAGGGGUGGGAUUGAGGAACUCAGCGCGCGCCUUUGGUGUCGGGGCUUUG